rnacentral:rRNA from 1 species
GUACACGCUGUGACUAGCAUAUCAAUAAGCGGAGGAAAAGAAACUAACAAGGAUUCCCCUAGUAACGGCGAGUGAAGCGGGAAGAGCUCAAAUUUGAAAUCUUAAAGGGUUUCCCUUUACGAAUUGUAGUUUAAAGAAGUGUUUUCUGUUGAGGUUUUGGUAAAAGUUCUUUGGAAUAGGACAUCAUAGAGGGUGAGAAUCCCGUAUUUGACCUUUACUUUCAACUUUGUGAUACACUUUCAAAGAGUCGGAUUGUUUGGGAAUGCAGUCCAAAAUGGGUGGUAAAUUUCAUCUAAAGCUAAAUAUUGGCGAGAGACCGAUAGCGAACAAGUACCGUGAGGGAAAGAUGAAAAGAACUUUGAAAAGAGAGUUAAACAGUACGUGAAAUUGUCAAAAGGGAAGCGUUUGACACCAGUGUUGUUUUUCUGAAAAUCAAUUAAAGAACUGUUUAUGCUAAGCUGUUUAGACUUUAUCAGCUAUACUGUUUAGUUUUGAGCUUUUCUUUAAUGCACUUUUCAGUUAACAAGUCAACAUCAAUUUCUUUUGCUGUAAAAAAGCUUGAGGAAGGUGGCUUGAGAUUCGUCUUAAGUGUUUAUAGCCUCUUGCCUAUGCAGUCGGAGAGAUUGAGGUCUGCAGCGUAGAUCCUUCGGGGCUAAAUGCAUUUGUGCUAAGUUAUAGCAUUUUAUAGACAACUUGUUGACUAUGAUUUGUCUUGUAGCUUACUCGCUUAUGUUAUUUUACCUACGCUUAGGAUGUUGAGUCGUAGAGCACGCAG